GUGCUCGCUUUGGCAGCACAUAUACUAAAGUUAAAACAAUACAGAGAAGAUUAGCAUGGCUCCUGCUCAAGGAUGACAUGCAAAUUCAUGAAGUGUUCCAUAGUAAA
rnacentral:snRNA from 1 species